GCCGAUGUGGCUCAGUGGUAGAGCAGCUGAUUCGUAAUCAGCAGGUCGGGGGUUCAAAUCCCCCCAUCGGCUCCA
rnacentral:tRNA from 1 species